rnacentral:rRNA from 1 species
GAUGAACGCUGGCGGCGUGCCUAAUACAUGCAAGUCGAGCGAACAGACGAGGAGCUUGCUCCUCUGACGUUAGCGGCGGACGGGUGAGUAACACGUGGAUAACCUACCUAUAAGACUGGGAUAACUUCGGGAAACCGGAGCUAAUACCGGAUAAUAUAUUGAACCGCAUGGUUCAAUAGUGAAAGACGGUUUUGCUGUCACUUAUAGAUGGAUCCGCGCCGCAUUAGCUAGUUGGUAAGGUAAAGGCUUACCAAGGCAACGAUGCGUAGCCGACCUGAGAGGGUGAUCGGCCACACUGGAACUUAGACACGGUCCAGACUCCUACGGGAGGCAGCAGUAGGGAAUCUUCCGCAAUGGGCGAAAGCCUGACGGAGCAACGCCGCGUGAGUGAUGAAGGUCUUCGGAUCGUAAAACCCUGUUAUUAGGGAAGAACAAAUGUGUAAGUAACUAUGCACGUCUUGACGGUACCUAAUCAGAAAGCCACGGCUAACUACGUG